GUGUUGUAUGAAAGGAGAGAAGGUUAGCACUCCCUUGACAAGGAUGGAAGAGGCCCUUGGGCCUGACAAUACAUUUGAUAACUUAAGCAUGUAUUUCUUAUAUUAAUUUUAAUGUUAAAUGGGGAUU